UACGUAGGUGGCAAGCGUUGUCCGGAUUUACUGGGCGUAAAGGGCGUGCAGGCGGUCUGUUAAGUCUAGGGUGAAAGCUCCCGGCUCAACUGGGAGAGGUCCUUGGAUACUGGCGGACUUGAGGGAGGCAGAGGAAAGUGGAAUUCCUGGUGUAGCGGUGAAAUGCGCAGAUAUCAGGAGGAACACCGGUGGCGAAGGCGGGUCUCUGGGCCGAUACUGACGCUGAGGAGCGAAAGCGUGGGGAGCGAACAGG
rnacentral:rRNA from 1 species